CGUAACCUACUCGAAACUUGAGGGAACGUUACUGUUUUCAUGUUUCUCAAUUUCAAUAAGGAAUGCGUCCACAAAAUCAGCACCUUCUCCUUCGAUCACG
rnacentral:snoRNA from 1 species